GGCAUCGUGGCCGAGUAGUCAGGCAACGGUCUGCAAAACCGUUUACCCGGGUGCAAAUCCCGGCGAUGCCUCCA
rnacentral:tRNA from 1 species